rnacentral:rRNA from 1 species
AGUGAACGCUGGCGGUAGGCCUAACACAUGCAAGUCGAACGGCAGCACAGUAAGAGCUUGCUCUUACGGGUGGCGAGUGGCGGACGGGUGAGGAAUACAUCGGAAUCUACUUUUUCGUGGGGGAUAACGUAGGGAAACUUACGCUAAUACCGCAUACGACCUACGGGUGAAAGCAGGGGAUCUUCGGACCUUGCGCGAUUGAAUGAGCCGAUGUCGGAUUAGCUAGUUGGCGGGGUAAAGGCCCUCCAAGGCGACGAUCCGUAGCUGGUCUGAGAGGAUGAUCAGCCACACUGGAACUGAGAAACGGUCCAGACUCCUACGGGAGGCAGCAGUGGGGAAUAUUGGACAAUGGGCGCAAGCCUGAUCCAGCCAUACCGCGUGGGUGAAGAAGGCCUUCGGGUUGUAAAGCCCUUUUGUUGGGAAAGAAAAGCAGCAGGUUAAUACCCCGCUGUUCUGACGGUACCCAAAGAAUAAGCACCGGCUAACUUCGUG